GGAGGCACGUAUUGGCGUACUUAUGGCUCUUGAAAAGCUUGAAGGCUGGUUAGUCCCGGCCGUGCGGGUUCAACUCCUGCUGUCUCCGC
rnacentral:tRNA from 1 species